GUGGCUGCGUCCAAGUCCAAGCGCCGUCCGGCCACCAGCGCAGGUACCGAGCCACCGAGGUAGGAGCCAGCCACCGGGCAGAUCCCAGGCUGCCAGCCACCGGCGUCCAGCACUCCGGCUGCCAGCUACCGGCCACCCGCAGCGCAGGCCACACCAAUGGGUAGCAACCGCAUGGCGCCAUGGCUGCCGACGAACACCAGCAGCGAGACGGCCAGACCCCAGGUUAUGUUACUACUAUUAUUUCUAUAUGAUAUAUUUGUCUAAAGUAUAAAGUCUAAACGCUAUAUGAAAUGUGAUUUUAUAUAGCUAUAUAUGAGUGUCAAAUAGAGAGUUAUAUACUCAUAUAUUGUUUGCUUCUAUAACAGUAAUUCGAUUUAUUAUAUCUUCGUCGAGGAUAGUGACACGUCACGUCAGUGUCCGGCCAUCGCUUGAGAGGCGCGAAUGUCUUCGCUGCGCCGUCACGAUCCAGGCUCGCAUCCCCUUCUGACGCGCACCCAUUGCGGGCAGACGUUUGGGCUUUGUGUGGAUGGAUCAUGGACGUACAUACCACGUUUGUUUUUCUAACUAAAUCUUCACUUCUUUGAAUCGCAGAGUCCAACCCAAGGAUGGUUUAGGCUACUGAAGGGCAAUGCACUGAUUCUUAGACUAUUGAAGAAUUUACAGGAUGAUGUGCAGGAGCAGGCAGCUACUAUGCAAUUUUCUAUUUAUUGUACUCUUGCCACGAACUGCUCGUAAUUCUCUUUCAGUUUGUUGCAGAGCGUGGGCAGUAAAUGCAAAGAAAAAACACAGUUGCAGAAAUUGCUAGCAAUAGACUAUACAAGAUAGAGCCAAAUUGAGCAAAAAAAAAGACCAUUCCCAUUUGGAUCACCAUUCCCUAACCACAGCAAAAUGAAGGUGGAAAAUUGAGUAGUUGAGUGCCGUGUAUGCACAUGAGCAGGGCUAAUACUUUAUAAGAAAUGUGCUGGUUCUUGAUACUCCUCCAACCAGUUGUAGAAGAAUUCUGGUUUGGCUGAAGUAGUUUUACAUCCGAAAGAUGGACUUUGUACAGAUAUAUUCUCUGUCAACAAUAUGUAUAUCCAGGCGGAGAUGAACUUGGAGGGAAGCAGAUUUACAGUUUGGUGAUAUUAUAUAUUAUCAAUCGCAGUUUAUUAAUGUUGCGCUUCUUCUCUAUUAUCAAACUAUUCACACAAGACUUCAUGUGUGCGUGUGUGAAAGAUUUUAUUAGUGUAAGGUCUUUAGGGACAGUUCACAUUGAAGUUCUGGUGCCUACAUAAAUUGUAAACCAUACAUGUUGACAUGGGUACACAUCUCAUGGCUAUAUACAACUUUGACAUGAGGUUUAUCUUAAGAUUGUGUGUUCCAAUAAAAGCUGUUACUAUUUCUUGCAUGUGCAUGUCUUUAGGAUAUACAUUUUUCUUUAUAGAUUUAUUUAUUUACAUCGCUUACUGCUUACUAGCCUAUUUUUUCUAGCAAUUUCUGCAAGUCGACCCAUCGUGUUGAACUAAACCAUCUCUAAUUUCCUACAGCUUCAACUCCAACAACAGGAUGGCCCCACACACUUAAUGAAAACAUCUCUAAUUUCUAGCAAAUUCGACUCCGAGGACAAUAAAGGUACCACAAUGGACUUCUUAAGAAGAAUAGGAAUCGUGUACAUAAGCUUUUUUGCUCUAAUAAAAUAAGAGUGGUUGUUGCAACAAUGGCAUUCAGAAUGGGUCUUGAUAAGAGUGACGUUGAACCGAUAUGACCAUUUGACUAGCAUACAAAGUUCAAAUGUGACAGCCUAUAGCUUUAAGCAAUGUUACACUGCUUAUCACCUGGACUGAUUCAAGCAUUUGUUCUUUUAAAGGUGGUUCAUUGUAUCUUGCCAGAAAUCGUAGAAGAAUACAUACAUGUAUAUUCCAUGCAGAUUCCCCCCACCCUCCCAUUUUCUUCUCUUUUCUAGACAUCUUACUAUGCUCUUUCUAGGAAACUGGUCGUGCUGAUUCAACAAAAGUCAAAGUCUUUUGCACAAAUGAAUCU
rnacentral:lncRNA from 7 species